AUUGAACGCUGGCGGCAGGCCUAACACAUGCAAGUCGAGCGGAUGAAGAGAGCUUGCUCUCUGAUUUAGCGGCGGACGGGUGAGUAAUGCCUAGGAAUCUGCCUGGUAGUGGGGGAUAACGUCCGGAAACGGGCGCUAAUACCGCAUACGUCCUACGGGAGAAAGCAGGGGACCUUCGGGCCUUGCGCUAUCAGAUGAGCCUAGGUCGGAUUAGCUAGUUGGUGAGGUAAUGGCUCACCAGGGCUACGAUCCGUAACUGGUCUGAGAGGAUGAUCAGUCACACUGGAACUGAGACACGGUCCAGACUCCUACGGGAGGCAGCAGUGGGGAAUAUUGGACAAUGGGCGAAAGCCUGAUCCAGCCAUGCCGCGUGUGUGAAGAAGGACUUCGGAUUGUAAAGCACUUUAAGUUGGGAGGAAGGGCAGUAAGUUAAUACCUUGCUGUUUUGACGUUACCGACAGAAUAAGCACCGGCUAACUUCGUGCCAGCCGCCGCCGUAAGAC
rnacentral:rRNA from 1 species